rnacentral:lncRNA from 1 species
AGAUAAACGAACAAAGAAAACAAAAACAAACAAACAAUACAAAAAAUAAAACUAUCCAAAAACAAAUCCAAAAAGUUUUUAAUAGUUUACAUGUCGUAUAAAAAAUAAAUAAAAAUAAAUACUCUGACAUGUAAUUUAAUUGGAGUCAUCCGAAAUUAACUUUGGUUCCAUGGAUUGUUUCCCCUUCCCUCUUCUUCUUGAAGGUUCCUAACCCUUGUUUAAUCUUUCUCCUGGUUCUUCUAAAUUGAUCCCUCCUCUCAGUGUGGAUACGAAUAUUGUAUUCACCGCG